AUCCGGCUGAAACAUGAAAUAAACUCUCUUAUACGAUUCAAGAUUUAUAUAAGAAUACAAAGAUUAGGAAAACAAAACCUACCACAGAUUCAUUUACAACUUUCCGAAUUUUAACUGCGAGGACAAAUACGACUACAGACAGUAGAAAGAGGAAUAUGUAAUACAGCCUGGAGUAGAAAAUAAAGGAUCAUUGUAGGAGCUACAUCAUAUUUUACAAGCCCAUUCCGGUUAUACGUUACACCUGAAAUUUGUAUAUGUAGAUGAGGUUUCUUUAAAAAAUAAACAUGAGACGGGAUGAACGAUUUACAUACGUCGACGUUCACCGGACGGAAACCAGCCAUCCAUUUAGAAAUAGACGUUCGACUAUAUUAUUGAUGCAUAUCUACGAUUACCUAAUCUAAUUUAGUGAUAUUUUAAUGUGUAAUAUUUUCUGCAUUGACUAAAUAAAUAAAUAAAUUCAUGCUUGUGUA